CACAGGGAGGUAGUGACAAGAAAUAACAAUACGGGGCUUAAAGUCUUGUAAUUGGAAUGAUGGGAAUUUAAACCUCUUCCAGAGUAUCAAUUGGAGGGCAAGUCUGGUGCCAGCAGCCGCGGUAAUUCCAGCUCCAAUAGCGUAUAUUAAAAUUGUUGCAGUUAAAAAGCUCGUAGUUGAAUUUCUGCUGCAUUGCUUGUGUCCCUCUGGGGUCUGUGCAUGUGGCUUUUUUCGGACGGAGUUUCUUUGUCUGAAUGUUUACUUUGAGAAAAUUAGAGUGCUCAAAGCAGGCUUUCGCCUUGAAUAGUUUAGCAUGGAAUAAUAAAGUAGGACUUUGGUUCUAUUUUGUUGGUUUUAGGUACCAAAGUAAUGGUUAAUAGGAACAGUUGGGGGCAUUCGUAUUUAACUGUCGAGGUGAAAUUCUUA
rnacentral:rRNA from 1 species